rnacentral:lncRNA from 1 species
CGGGCCCGUCCCGUCCGGCCGCACCAUGGGCAGCACCUUGCGGAAGAGCCCGGCCGUGCGCCCCCGGAGCGGCGGCGCCCGGCAGGGGGAGCCCUGAAGCUGCAAGAAGGGCAGCACGAAGCAGCAGCAGAAACUUCCCAGCCAGUUGUUUCGGCACGGGAGAAGCAAACAGGAGAUCAUGAGAGAACUUUAAAGGUCUUGUCCUGCAAUUUGAGAGGCAUUGAGAAUUUUGCCAGAACUCCAAAGGCUUGAAGGUCUGAAACCCUAAUAAAUUGGAUUUUCAUAAAUGAAGUAUGAAGGCU